CAGUGAGGAGGAGGGCAGAGGGCGCAUCUCAGCCCUGCUGCUCAGCCCUGUUUCCUUGGGCACAGCAGUUUGCUUCCCCGAGUGUGUUCCUGCCUCUGAAAUGUGGGUCUCAGCGCCUAGAGGGCCCCUCCCAGGAGAGGUCAAGGCACCGGGUAUGAGGUAGUCAGCACAGCACAGCACCAGCCUCCUGGAGCAAGUUCCCAACUUUAUUUCUACUUUUCCCGAGACAUCAGGGGGACCUGGCCCCACUGGGACAGGCAGGGCCUCCUGCUGCCCUCCCACCCAAAGCAGGCCCCUAGACCUGCACGGGGUGGGGGUGCGGGCGUCCAGCUCGCUCACUGCCAUCCCUAGAGACUUUCUUGACCCUGAACAGCCCUCACCAGGGAGGCCAGCAGCUGAAGGACAGGAGUGGGGAUCGGCUGAAGGAAGACAAUCAGGGUGGCCCCAAAGACCCUUCCCACCUUCCAGGGCCUCCUCGGGCCAGGGGGCGGGGUCUGAGUAGAGGCCAAGUUCCUGGGGAGAGCAGGAAGGGGACCUCCACGACACCGCCGUUCUUGGGCCACUUGCUGCUGGUCGCCGAGAACAGCCGGAAGGGACUCUGGGGAGAGAGGGCGGCUUGGGGAGCAGCCGGCAAAGCUUCCCGCCCCGAGGCUGCCACCCCUCAGGCCCCAGGAGCCCUCAAGAUGCGCGCAGUGAGGGUGGCUGCUCAUCAGAGAAGGGACAGAAACCGGGGGGUCGGUGGCCAGCUGUGUGACGCGCAGCACAACCCUUUGUUCUAGAGAAAGAAGUUGCCACUUACUCUAUCAGGGAGAGAAACCCAGGAAACGCAGUAAUGUUUAUCUUUUUGCCAGUUUUUCUAAAUGUCCUGUGGACAUCUGAUAACAACAUAUGAGAUACAAAAUUUUAAACAAUUUGUGUAGGGUAUGAUUAAUAAAAUUAAAUAUUAAUCUAUUAUAUUUAAAUUAUUAAUGAUAUCAUUCAAGAUCCUAAUUUUUCUGCACUUGAUAAAAUAUUCUCAGACAUGUUAAUAUGUCUCACUAUGAUCAUAUAUUGUUCUUUUUCCCUCAUAUUUCUUCUGACUUUUGCUUUAUGUAUCUUUGUUUCUUUGUUUGUUAAGGUAUCUAAUGGUUUAUGACAUCUAUCUUUUUUGUGAGUUGUACCUUUUAU
rnacentral:lncRNA from 1 species